GACGAACGCUGGCGGCGUGCUUAAUACAUGCAAGUCGAACGCAGAGGGCGGACCUUGCUUCUCUGGAUGAGUUGCGAACGGGUGAGUAACGCGUAGGUAACCUGCCUGGUAGUGGGGGAUAACUAUUGGAAACGAUAGCUAAUACCGCAUAAUAGUACAUGUUGCAUGACAUUUGCUUGAAAGGUUCAAUUGCAGGACUACCAGAUGGCCCUUCGUUGUAUUAGGUAGUUGGUGAGGUAACGGCUCACCAAGGCAAAGAUACAUAGCCGACCUGCUAAGGGGAGCGGCCGCACUGGGACGGAGACACGGCCCAGAAGCCCACGGGAGGCGGCAGUAGUGCAUCGGGGAGAAUGGGCGGAAAUCUUACCGAGCAACGCCGCGUGAGGGAAGAAGGUCGUCGGGUGGUAGAGCGCUGUUGUAAGGUAAGAACCUGUGUGAGAGUGGAAAGUUCACACUGUGACGGUAGUGGAACAGGAAGCGACGGCUAACUACGUG
rnacentral:rRNA from 1 species